UACGAAGGGUGCAAACGUUGCUCGGAAUUAUUGGGCGUAAAGCGCACGUAGGCGGCUUGGCAAGUCGGAUGUGAAAUCCCUCGGCUCAACCAAGGAAGUGCAUCCGAAACUGCUGAGCUUGAGUUCUUAAGAGGAUCGCGGAAUUCCUGGUGUAGCGGUGAAAUGCGCAGAUAUCAGGAGGAACACCGGUGGUGUAGACGGCUUACUGGACCAUGACUGACGCUGGAGGCAACGGAAAGCGUGGGGAGCAAACAGG
rnacentral:rRNA from 1 species